CCGGCGCACGGGUGAGUAACACGUAUGCAACCUGCCCUCUUCAGGGGGACAACCUUCCGAAAGGGAGGCUAAUCCCGCGUAUAUCGGUUUCGGGCAUCCGAGAUCGAGGAAAGAUUCAUCGGAAGAGGAUGGGCAUGCGGCGCAUUAGCUAGACGGCGGGGUAACGGCCCACCGUGGCGACGAUCAGUAGCCGGCCUGAGAGGGCGGACGGCCACACUGGGACUGAGACACGGCCCAGACUCCUACGGGAGGCAGCAG
rnacentral:rRNA from 1 species